rnacentral:rRNA from 1 species
UACGUAGGGUGCAAGCGUUGUCCGGAAUUAUUGGGCGUAAAGAGCUCGUAGGUGGCCUGUCGCGUCGGCUGUGAAAACUCGGGGCUCAACUCCGAGCUUGCAGUCGAUACGGGCUAGCUAGAGUGCGGUAGGGGAGACUGGAAUUCCUGGUGUAGCGGUGAAAUGCGCAGAUAUCAGGAGGAACACCGGUGGCGAAGGCGGGUCUCUGGACCGAUACUGACGCUGAGGAGCGAAAGCGUGGGGAGCGAACAGG